UAGUUGUCGGGUCUUAACGGGCUUGGUAACGUAGCUAACGCGUGAAGUUGACCGCCUGGGGAGUACGGUCGCAAGAUUAAAACUCAAAGGAAUUGACGGGGACCCGCACAAGCGGUGGAUUAUGUGGAUUAAUUCGAUGCAACGCGAAAAACCUUACCUACCCUUGACAUGUACCGAAGCUCGCUGAGAGGUGAGCGUGCCCGAAAGGGAACGGUAACACAGGUGCUGCAUGGCUGUCGUCAGCUCGUGUCGUGAGAUGUUGGGUUAAGUCCCGCAACGAGCGCAACCCUUGUCAUUAAUUGCCAUCAUUCAGUUGGGCACUUUAAUGAAACUGCCGGUGACAAACCGGAGGAAGGUGGGGAUGACGUCAAGUCCUCAUGGCCCUUAUGGGUAGGGCUUCACACGUAAUACAAUGGCGCGUACAGAGGGUUGCCAACCCGCGAGGGGGAGCUAAUCUCAGAAAGCGCGUCGUAGUCCGGAUCGGAGUCUGCAACUCGACUCCGUGAAGUCGGAAUCGCUAGUAAUCGCGGAUCAGCAUGUCGCGGUGAAUACGUUCCCGGGUCUUGUACACACCGCCCGUCACACCAUGGGAGUGGGUUUCACCAGAAGCAGGUAGUCUAACCGCAAGGAGGGCGCUUGCCACGGAGAGAUUCAUGACUGGGGUG
rnacentral:rRNA from 1 species